GGAGAGGUGUACGAGUGGCUGAAGGAGCACGCCUGGAAAGUGUGUAACGGGCCACCGUUCGAGGGUUCGAAUCCCUCUCUCUCCGCCA
rnacentral:tRNA from 1 species